AUCCACCAUGAUUUUUCUGCUAUCGCGCUCAUCCGGGUGUUAGGCAUCCUCAGUCUGUCCAGAACUUUCCCUGUGGAAGGAUGUAUUUAAGUGAGGUGCGAUUUCUUGUGCAACGUACUUUGCUCAUUUACGUUUUGUGCCGUGUUCCUUCUUCCUCAGUUAUGGAAUGAUUUAUCCUAGCAAAUUGUUGAGGUAAGUUUCUUGCUGUGUGCUUGUGCAGGUACAUUCAACUAACCUUUGGCGUCUAAAAAGUUACAGGUGUGUGCGCUAUUUAUCAACGACUGCAUGCUGACCUCGUCAACAAUCUUCAAAGUGAGCGACGGAAUGAAAACGUUUUCCAGUUUUAAAAUAUUAAACCCCCGGUGAGGACGUCAUUACUUAACAGAAGCCGGUUCAACACGCGCAGCUCCUGUUCAUGACGUCAUCACUAAAAUGAAGCCAGCUGGACACGCGCAGCACGGAUGGUACCCCGAGCGCGGUAGGAGGAAGGAAGAACGGUAAAUUUGGAAGGGGGAAAGCGUUCUGCCGUGUACACAGCGGGAGUAUGCCAAAACACAUGUGGGAAGGGAGAGAGAUAUUAUUCAAUAAACAGCAUGCGAAUGUGUGCGUAUAGCAAA